GCCGUCGGGGUUUGAUCUUGAAUUGAUGGAAGUUCUUCAAGGGCCUUUGGGGCUUGAUCUUGAAUUGGUGGAAGUUCUUCAAAAGGCCGUCGGGGCUUGAUCUUGAAGGUGGAUGAUUGUUGAUCCAAUGGCCGUCGGGGCUUGAUCUGAGAAGAACGAUGAACGAAGAACGAAGAGGGCUUUCUUGAUUCUUCGGGAACCUGGAUGCUUGAGAGCUUCGGAGUUUCGGAGUUUCAGAGUUUCAGAGCUUCAGAGCUUCAAGGUUUUGGUGUAAUAUGAAUUCCUCCCCUUAAAUGAAUGAAAUUGGCUUCUAUUUAUAGAAUUUUCCAAGGCCUAAUUUUGAAUAUAAUAUUCCAGAUGAAAUAAGUCGUUUCUGCCAGGUGUUGACACGUGUCCUGUUUGAUGACUUUUCCGACUCAUUUCAAUUUUUCGUCGAGUCACACACUACGUGUAAAAUUUAUGUAAUACAUAAGCGUUGAAACUUUGAUUUAUCGGUCAACAUUUAUUUACCAAAAUUUCGAUGUCUAGAAAUGCCCCCACUUCAAGGCGCGUCGUAUACAUGUGCUUGUCACGUGUAUGAGAUGCGUUUUGAAAUCCCUUAUUGUAGAUGUCGAUCCAAGGGCCGUUGGGGCUUGAUCUUGAAUUGGGCUGGAAAUUUAUUCAAGGGCCGUUGAGGCUUGUUCUUGAACUUUGUUUGAAAUUUCUUCAAGGGUCGUCGAGGCUUGAUCUUGAAGGUUGAAAUUGGACCACAAGGAGCUUCAUGUGGUAGAUGAUCUUUGGCUUUGGUAGUGGAUGAAUUGGCACGUAUUUGUUUUUUGCGCUUGUUGACUUUCCACAGCUUUGAUCUUGAACUGGGUUGGAGGACUUUCUGGAUUCCUCCAAUUGUUGACUUUCCACAACUUAUUCUUGAACUGGAUUUGAUUCAAGGGUGGUAGACGCUUGAUCUUGGAUCAGACUUGUGAUUUCCUCAAAGACCGUUGAGGCCUGAUUUUGAAUUUGGAUGGAAGCUUCUUCAAGGGCCGUUGAGGCUUGAUUCUUGAAGGUUGACUCGAACACAUGACAAGCAAGCACGAGUUAAAGGUGACGACUUGUUGCUUUGUUCAAUCUUUCUAAUUCACACCUGAGCAGUUUGGUCAACGGUAUGAUCUUCAAGAUUGAUGGGCUCUUCUUCUAGUUGGUGACUUGAUCUUUAAGGAUUUGAUUCAAGGGUGGUAAAUCAGCACGUGCAGCCCACAACGCCUAGCAAGUUGACUCAAGAAUUUGAGGGUCAAAAUGAGUCCUCCACCCAAAGUGAUCGCAACCCUGAUGAUAUGCGAUACUUUUGAUUUUGAAGAAGUAGCGGAUGAAUCGACACGUGUUUUGUUGUGCUUGUCUCCACAUGCUUUAAUGUAUCAUUUUCCAUUCCUUAAAUGUUCUCCAGGCAAAUGUGGCAUCUUCUCGAGUUCCUCAGCUCAGACUCUUUCUGCUGAGUUGAGUGUGCAGGCUGCAAGUUGAGUGUACAGGCUGCAUUCUUCUCUACUUGUUUCUUCUGCACGUUGUCUCCACAUGCUGCAAGGUAUCAUUUUCACUUGUCUUAUCUGUUUUCCAGGAAGAUGUGGCAGCUUCUUUGGAAGUACAGCAGUAGUGGAAGACGAGUACUUGAGAGCAAUGCCAGGUAAGCAACCAGGCAAAAGUUCCAGGUAGUCGAUUCCUUACCCGAGUUUGAGUGGAGGUUUCGGCAUAUUGUUUUCUUUAUCCUUGUCUUUGUAGGUAAGAACAAGGACAAAGGAAAGGACAUGGAGAAAGCAUGAUAUGAGAUACUCUUGCUUUCUACCCUGGUGAUAUGAGAUACUUUUGCUUUGGUGUCAUUUGCUUGCAAAGGUCCCCCAAGGAAUAAGGAACACUGAGUGACUCGAGAGGGUUUGUUGGAAAUGCAUUCUCAGAGAUGAAGAAAGGUUGAGUAUGUCUGCCUUGCUAUGGAGGGUGAAUGUGGACAGUUAUAAGAAGUUCUUUAAUACCUGUAGAUGUACUAUUCUUUCACUCAUGUCGGCAACCGUUGAGUGAUUGAUCAGUAUGGCUUCACGUGCUUUUCUUUUUCAUCAGAAAUCUUUGACAAAUUGUCCGUAAUUUUCGCCAAGCUGAGUGUGCAUGUGACAUGUGUUGACGAGGCUGAAAAAGACUGGCGCCUCUUCGAUAUCUGGGAUUGGUGCUUCGACAAACUGCCCGUGAUUUUCGCAAAGCUGAGUGUGCAUGUGACAGAUGGUGACACGUCUGGAAAAGCAGAUGCCUUUCCGAUUUCUGAGUUUGCCUCUUCGAGUUCUGAGCUCCGUCGAGUGCAGAGGUUGCAUGUGACAAGUGCGGACAAAUCUGGAAAUGAAGAUUGGCCCAUGUUUUCUGAGAAAGCCCAGCUUUUGAAAAAGCUAGCACUUCUUCGAUUUUUGAAUUGGCCUCUUCGAAUUUUGAGCUCACCUCUUCGAUCUCUGAAAUCCCAUUGAGUGCUGAUUUUUUAUAGAGGCACGCAGUUUGUUUCAAAGCACACUUGAAUUUUUUUGCUUGUAGAAACUCCCUUCUUGCACUUCUAAGAUCUUGAUUUGUCCGACCUCUUCUUUCUUCAACACCUUUGAAAAUGUCUGGCCCUUCCGACCGUCGUUUUGACUUGAACCUUAGUGAAGAGGCAGUCCCGCCUUCUCCAGACAAUAUAUGGCGCUCAUCAUUCAUAUCCCCUACUAGUCCUCUUACUGUUGGGGAUUCGGUGAUGAAGAAUGAUAUGACCGCUGCGGUGGUGGCCCAGAACCUUGUCACUCCCAAAGAUAACAGACUACUUUCCAAACAGUCUGAUAAGUUGGCUGUUAAGGAUUCUCUGGCUCUCAGUGUGCAGUGUGCAGGUUCUGUGUCUAAUAUGGCCCAACGUCUAUUUGCUCGAACUCGUCAAGUUGAAUCAUUAGCGGCCGAAGUGAUGAGUCUCAAACAGGAGAUUAGAGGGCUCAAGCAUGAGAAUAAACAGUUGCACAUGCUCAGACAUAACUAUGCUACAAACAUGAAGAGGAAGAUUGACCAGUUGCAUGAAUCUGAUGGUCAGAUUUUACUUGAUCAUCAGAGGUUUGUGAGUUUGUUCCAACAACAUUUGCCUUCGUCUUCUGGGGCUGUACCGCGUAAUGAAGCUCCAAAUGAUCAACCUCCGGCUCUUCUUUUUCCCGGAGUUCCGCCAAGUGAUGAGGCGCCAUAUGAUCAAUGAAGGCUCCUUAUAUUUGCUACUUGCACAUUUGUAAAAAAAAUUUGUUUGCAUGUAGAAUGCAAUUUUAUGUAAUCUUUCCAGAGAAAUAAAUAAAAUGGACUUUACUUCUCUCAAUGCAUUUUUUUUUUCAACCAUCUUCUGCUUUUGUGUUAGACAUCCCUAUUUCCAUUAUUGCCCUGUGUUGCCUUCAACAAAAGGCAAAUCUUUGACAACUUGCACAUACACACCACAUCAAAAAUUUAUACUUUCUUAUUUGCUUUCGGUGCCACUACCUUUCUUUACAAUUAUUAUUUUUUUUUUUAAUCAUGCACCCACCCAUUAUUAUUUUUAUAUAUUAUUAUUAUUUUUUCAUAUGGUGCAAUCCGCACCAUCCCACCUCCCUACUUUCUUUUGCUCCUUCUUUUCAAAAUGGGCUGAUGGUGAUGAUCCUUUAUAAAAAAAAAAAUUUUAAUCAUGCACCCACCCAUUAUUUUUUAUAUAUUAUUAUUAUUUUUUCAUAUGGUGCAAUCUGCACCAUCCCACCUCCCUACUUUCUUUUGCUCCUUCUUUUCAAAAUGGGCUGAUGGUGAUGAUCCUUUAUAAUUUUGUUUUUUUUUUACAUGGUGCGGAUUGCACCAUAUGAAAAAAUAAUAAUAAUAUAUAAAAAAUAAUGGGUGGGUGCAUGAUUUAAAAAAAAAAAAAAAAAAAAGGGUUUCAGGAAUGGUGCACCGCACCAUGUAAAAAAAAAUUAUAAAGGAUCAUCACCAUCAACCCAUUUUGAAAAGAAGGAGCAAAAGAAAGUAGGGAGGUGGGAUGGUGUGGAUUGCACCAUAUGAAAAAAUAAUAAUAAUAUAUAAAAAAUAAUGGGUGGGUGCAUGAUUAAAAAAAAAAAUAAUUAUAAAGGAUCAUCACCAUUAGCCCAUUUUGAAAAAGAAGGAGCAAAAGAAAGUAGGGAGGUGGGAUGGUGCGGAUUGCACCAUAUGAAAAAAUAAUAAUAAUAUAUAAAAAAUAAUGGGAGGGUGCAUGAUUAAAAAAAAAAAAAUUAUAAGAGAUCAUCACCAUCAGCCCAUUUUGAAAAGGAGCAAAAGAAAGUAGGGAGGUGGGAUGGUGCGGAUUGCACCAUAUGAAAAAAUAAUAAUAAUAUGUAAAAAAAAUAAUGGGUGGGUGCAUGAUUAAAAAAAAAAGAAAAAGUGAACACGAAAAUUUCCUGAAAGAAAAGAGACAAGAACAACGUGCACAAAAUAAUAUUUGUAUUUGAUGAUUUUGGGUUAAAAUCUCUCUUAAAAUUUGAUUAUCUGAUUCAAUCUCCGUAAGCUGUUGAUUUGUAGAUGUGCGAUUGAUCCAAAGGGCCGUUGGGCUUGAUCUAAGGAUGAACGUUCUUCAAAGGCCGUGGGCUUGAUCUUGAAUGUGGAUUUGAACGGAUCUUCAAGGAGCCGUUGGGGCUUGAUCUUGAGGAUGAGCGUUUCUUCAAGGGUCGUUGAAACUUGAUCUUGAAUAACGGUGAUGAACGGAUCUUCAAGGGCUUUUGGGCUUGAUCUUGAAGAACAGUGAUGAACGGUUGGAUGUAUGGAUUUGUCGACGUUGUUGAUCCAAAGGGGCAUUGGGGCUUGAUCUUAGAAUGAACGGAUGAUGAACGAUGAACACUUUCUUCAAGGGCCGUUGGGGUUUGAUCUUGAAUUGGUGGAAGUUCUUCAAGGGCCUUUGAGGCUUGAUCUUGAAUUGGUGGAAGUUCUUCAAAGGGCCGUCGGGGCUUGAUCUUGAAGGUGGAUGAUUGUUGAUCCAAGAGCCGUCGGGGCUUGAUCUGGGAAGAACGAUGAACGAAGAACGACGAGGGCUUUCUUGAUUCUUCGGGAACCUGGAUGCUUGAGAGCUUCGGAGUUUCAGAGUUUCAGAGCUUCAAGGUUUUGGUGUAAU
rnacentral:lncRNA from 1 species